rnacentral:lncRNA from 1 species
CUCAAUUGAAUAAUCAAGAAAACCCAGGGUAUCUGAUAAUCAGAUGACCAGGACAGGCCAGUUAGGCACCGUGUCUAAGGGUGCUGCCUCCUUGAUCUUCUGUCUCUGAGAUCAUACCCAUCUGCUUGUUAAUACUUGAGUGGAUUCUUGACUCUAAACUCUACAGGGACAGCAACAAGGUGGAUUACUUCAAGACUUACCUGACUUCCUGGAAUGAACAAUAUGGUUUAUUUAUAGUUAACUGCUGCAUCUAGGAGACCCGCAGAACUCUGGUUGGGUCCUGUCCCCCUAGCCAGUUUGGUCUGAUAUGCUCUGAACCCUCUUCUUGUCCUGCUGCAUCAGCACUGACAACAAGUCUUCUUCUGCAGCUCCUGCCACUGUUAAUUUGGACCCGUCACUUCCUUGCAGUAGAGCUGAUAGGCCAACUGCAGAACCGUAGUCUGCCUCCAACUGUUCACUCUAGAGUAUACAGAUGUCUCCCUGUGUUUCUUCUACUUUAGAUAUU